GCGAGGGGAGGAGCGAGGGCGGCGCUAAGCUGGAGCCGCGCGGGAGUCGGAUCCCGGCUUGAAAGCAGGCAAUGGACCCUUGGUUGUAUUCUGGAUAGGUUUGGAAAGUACCCGAAUCUCCAUUGAGGAUAUGACUCCCAUCCCUAUCCUGAUCAGGCAGCACAGCAGGACUUGAGAGAUUGAAGAUAUAUUUCUUCACAUUUCCAUGAAUACACACCUUGAUUGCUAGAUGAAGAACCAAAUAAUUGGACUAAUUAUUGCCACAGGGCAAUAAUUUUCCAUAUCACUUCACAAUCUGUUCAUACUCAUCUUUCAUAGUUCUCUCAACUUGCUGUCUUCUAGAAAGUGCUCCCUUAGUGCCUGCUCUUUAAUUAUCCUGCACUUUGUUCCAGGAAGAUCUAAAUAUCCAUGCUGUCCAAGGAAUAUCCUACUUUACUUGAGAACUCAAUAAUGGCAAUGUUAGUGCUUCAAUAUCCUCUAAACUUUAUUGUGUGCAUUCAUAUGAAGAUAUUUCUCCACAAUCAUACCCAGGAAAAAAUGCAGGAUAGAUCUGUCACCUUCCUAUGAACCCACAGUCAAUUCAUACAAUGGAGCACAAUGGCUUAGCAGUUAAAUCAGCUAGAAAGCUGACGGCCCAGGUUCAAGACCUAAGCACUGCACAAUGGAGUUCCUGUCCCAGCUCCUAUUCACCAAGCAGUUUGAAAGCAUGGAAAUACAAGUAGAUAAAUUGGCACCACUGGUGGGAAGAUGAAUUGGCAAUUUCUUCGGGGACAGAAGAAUGAGCACUGGCCAUGUAAAUAAUUACUGGACACAGGUAGCCUGCCUAGGCCUCUCAGAGGAAUAUAUGAAUCAAAGCCUGUAUUUCUAUAGUUGCAAUAUAUCUUAAUAUUUUGCUUAUACUGCAGCAUUAAAUAGGAACUUUUAAUCAUUAUUUUAGUGUCAAGCAGAUUUAUUUUUACAUAAAAAAUAAAGUUUGAUUUACAACCUCUGUUGGGGGAAAAUGUGUGAUUUCCCAAGGCAGUUUUGAAAUAGUAGGAAAAAAAGACUCUGAACUGAACUGUAUUUUUUAAUAAUAUUUUCAGAUCAAGAUGAUGAAAAGAAAACCAGAAGUAUGAUUCAAAUGUCUCAUCUGAAAUUCAACAUUCAAGUCUCACAGUUUUUUGUUUUAAAUGUGAUUGAUGAAGAUGUAAUUACGGUAUAUAGGGCCUGAAAGGUGAUUCUGGCCAAAAGAUACAGUUUGUCACUUUGUGUUCUGCUAAGGUGAAAUACAAAAUAGAUCAAAAAAAUAAUACGAUAUUUCACUUUAUUUAUCUUUAUUUAAUAUUCUCCAUUUACAUAUUGAGAUUAGACCUCACAAAUUAACUCCACCAUUAUAUUACACAGUAGUACAUUCCAUUUCAUUAAUUAUAAAAACUGAACCAAUUGUCAUGUAUGUGUAGAUCAAUUUAUCUGCAUAUAGAUGUGACAUAAACUUGUUCACAUUAUUUUCUUUGUAAUGAGUAAAACCAAAUAGGAAAAAUAUAGAAAAUAGGCUAUAUAUCAGAAGCCUACUAUAUAAAAGUUCUAUAAUAUUUGAAAAUGUAGAUGUUUAAGUAAAUUAAUUAAAAUAAAUUG